rnacentral:lncRNA from 1 species
AAUUGAUAUAUGAAUAAUGAGAUAUAUGUCUAUGUAUCUGUGAAAAAAAAAUAAUGUAUUCAUUAGAUUAUCGAAAAAGCGAAAUCUGUACAGAUCGAAUGAACAUGUCCUAUCGCGCGAGACAAAGAAAACGAGCAACAUGUGGGCUGACGCAAGGGUGACUAAAAAUACGCAUGUUGUAUCAGGAAAAAAGUGACACCAUACGAAUCUUACGCCAUGUUAUGCAAAUUACACAUCGCUGUGCCUUUCGCUCUUGAAAAAAACAAUUAUUUCAUCAAAUUCUGAUGUAUUAUUGAUCUCAUUCCAUCUACGACAUAUAUUGCCCUCAUGAAAUAUGUAAACCAAACGAAUGGGUGUGGUUCUGGUGUUGAAAUUGCACUCGCAAAAGGCCUGUGAGCGACGAGUAGCGACACAUGGCACGCUGAGCACACAUCGGUUUAUAAGCGACCAGUUCUUGUCCCUCGGCCAGUUACAGCUCACUUUCGGUUCGGAUCGGAAUGAUCCUUACUCCCUGUGACGAGAUGUUCCAGUGGCGACAGGCGCGAGGGACACUUGCCUGUGCCUGCCCCUGGUAAGAAGCCACGGCUCUGUAUCAGGGGCAGGUACCCACCCCCCCUCUCCCGGACUGAUAUGUGGCUACUCGACCCCCGCACGGAUCUCGGACUGCCCCGAGAACUAACUCUUGCCAGAACCUCCUCUCCGAUUUGUUGAUGCUGAAUCCCUCCCCGGAAGGGUCAACUCACCACAUUUACAUCACAAUUUGGUUCAUCAAAUUACUCACCGCUACGAAAAUGUUGCUUGCAUCAAGCAUCCAUUGAAUUGCAGCUAUUUGGUGCCUUCUCUUAGUCAGCAUGGUUUUGGACCUGUGGUAGUUGCUGUUCUUUACGUCACUAUCAUGUUAUGUUCCUUUAUAUCAUGAAGAUGUUCCUCUUUGUACUGAGCACUAUGUUGCAUUUUAGAUUGCAAUAUGGCGUGCUGUUGUGCAAAAGACUAUGGAAAUUUGUUACUAUUUCGAUUGAAUAAAUGUUAUUUGGAUUAA